rnacentral:rRNA from 1 species
UAGGGAAUCUUCGGCAAUGGACGAAAGUCUGACCGAGCAACGCCGCGUGAGUGAAGAAGGUUUUCGGAUCGUAAAACUCUGUUGUUAGAGAAGAACAAGGACGUUAGUAACUGAACGUCCCCUGACGGUAUCUAACCAGAAAGCCACGGCUAACUACGUGCCAGCAGCCGCGGUAAUACGUAGGUGGCAAGCGUUGUCCGGAUUUAUUGGGCGUAAAGCGAGCGCAGGCGGUUUCUUAAGUCUGAUGUGAAAGCCCCCGGCUCAACCGGGGAGGGUCAUUGGAAACUGGGGGACUUGAGUGCAGAAGAGGAGAGUGGAAUUCCAUGUGUAGCGGUGAAAUGCGUAGAUAUAUGGAGGAAAACCAGUGGCGAAGGCGGCUCUCUGGUCUGUAACUGACGCUGAGGCUCGAAAGCGUGGGGAGCAAACAGG